rnacentral:rRNA from 1 species
AAAAACAUAAAAAUUGAACUGGACAUGCCCAAUCUUGUCAGAUCUCGGAAGCUAAGCAGGUUCGGGCCUGGUUAGUACUUGGAUGGGAGACCACCUAGGAAUACCAGGUGCUGUAGGUA